GACGAACCGUGCGUACGCUGUUCGGAAUCACUGGGCUUAAAGGGCGCGUAGGCGGCUCGCGAGGUCGGGGGUGAAAUCCCACGGCUUAACCGUGGAAGGGCCUUCGAUACCGGCGGGCUAGAGGAAGGUAGGGGUGCGCGGAACUUCUGGUGGAGCGGUGAAAUGCGUUGAUAUCAGAAGGAACGCCGGCGGCGAAAGCGGCGCACUGGAUCUUUUCUGACGCUGAGGCGCGAAAGCCAGGGGAGCAAACGGG
rnacentral:rRNA from 1 species